rnacentral:rRNA from 1 species
GUGGGGAAUAUUGGACAAUGGGCGAAAGCCUGAUCCAGCCAUGCCGCGUGUAUGAAGAAGGUCUUCGGAUUGUAAAGCACUUUAAGUUGGGAGGAAGGGCAGUAAGUUAAUACCUUGCUGUUUUGACGUUACCGACAGAAUAAGCACCGGCUAACUUCGUGCCAGCAGCCGCGGUAAUACGAAGGGUGCAAGCGUUAAUCGGAAUUACUGGGCGUAAAGCGCGCGUAGGUGGUUUUGUAAGUUGGAGGUGAAAUCCCCGGGCUCAACCUGGGAACUGCCUCCAAAACUGCAUGACUAGAGUACGGUAGAGGGUAGUGGAAUUUCCUGUGUAGCGGUGAAAUGCGUAGAUAUAGGAAGGAACACCAGUGGCGAAGGCGACUACCUGGACUGAUACUGACACUGAGGUGCGAAAGCGUGGGGAGCAAACAGGAUUAGAAACCCGAGUAGUCC